AAAUAUACCUCCUAUAGAGGAUUUGGAUGUGUUUGUAGAGACAUGUUAGGAUUCAAUGUGUAGAUGGUUACUAAUAAAUGCGGCAACAUGAACACUUGAAAAAUAUAUGUUUAUCAGUAUGCAAGGUAAUUCUUUUUUCUUUUUUCUUACAUGGAUGUGUUUCUUUUUUCUUUUUUCUUACAUGAACAUUUGGAUGUUUUUCUUACAUGUUAGGAUUCAAUGUUCGAGUUGGUUAAUUCUUUUUUCUUCUUUUUUUUCUGAUUUGUCUCUCAAGCUUGGGUCAAUGUUGCAGGACAAAUUAGAUGAUUCAGCAUACAAGAUCUUAAUGGAUUACCAUAGUGCAACUGUGACCCUUUUAGCACUCAUGUCUGCUGCAACUGGUGAUGAUGAAGACUGUACAUUCGAUAGAAUUUUGAGUAAAAGGGAACUCCUGGAAGGCUUCAUGCCAGCGCUGAAAGGCUUGGUCGUGAGCACUUCUCAAUCCUGAAUCAGCAUAGAUUUUGUACUACAUGAAGUUCAAAUUGACAACAGGAAGCAACUUUAGAUUAGUUAUGUAGUGGGCAUAAUACUAAUCAGCAAUGCUAUUUAUUCAAAUAUAUAUAUAUAUAUAUUAUUAAUAAAGAUAUUUAAAAUUUGUAAUGUGUGUCA